AGGAUUAACGCUGGCGGCGUGCCUGACACAUGCAAGUCGAACGAGGCCGCAAGGCCGAGUGGCGGACGGGUGAGUAACACGUGACCAACCAACCUCGAAGUUGGGAAUAGCUCUGCGAAAGUAGGGGUAAUACCGAAUGUGGCCCAGGGCAGGCAUCUGCCUUGGUCUAAAGAUUCAUCGCUUCGAGACGGGGUCGCGGCCUAUUAGCUUGUUGGUGGGGUAACGGCUCACCAAGGCGAUGAUGGGUAGCUGGUCUGAGAGGACGACCAGCCACACUGGGACUGAGACACGGCCCAGACUCCUACGGGAGGCAGCAGUGAGGAAUCUUCCGCAAUGGGCGAAAGCCUGACGGAGCAACGCCGCGUGUGGGAUGAAGGCUCUAGGGUUGUAAACCACUGUCGGAGGGACGAUCGUGACGGUACCCUCCAAGAAAGCCCCGGCUAACUACGCGCCAGCAGCCGC
rnacentral:rRNA from 1 species